rnacentral:rRNA from 1 species
AACCUCCGCAAUGUGAGAAAUCGCGACGGGGGGAUCCCAAGUGCCAUUCUUAACGGGAUGGCUUUUCAUUAGUGUAAAAAGCUUUUGGAAUAAGAGCUGGGCAAGACCGGUGCCAGCCGCCGCGGUAACACCGGCAGCUCUAGUGGUAGCAAUUUUUAUUGGGCCUAAAGCGUCCGUAGCCGGUUUAAUAAGUCUCUGGUGAAAUCCUGUAGCUUAACUGUGGGAAUUGCUGGAGAUACUAUUAGACUUGAGACCGGGAGAGGUUAGAGGUACUCCCAGGGUAGAGGUGAAAUUCUGUAAUCCUGGGAGGACCGCCUGUUGCGAAGGCGUCUAACUGGAACGGUUCUGACGGUGAGGGACGAAAGUUAGGGGCGCGAACCGGAUUAGAUACCCGGGUAGUCCUAACUGUAAACGAUGCGGACUUGGUGUUGGGGUGGCUUUGAGCUGCUCCAGUGCCGAAGGGAGCUGUUAAGUCCGCCGCCUGGGAAGUACGGUCGCAAGACUGAAACUUAAAGGAAGU